rnacentral:rRNA from 1 species
GAUGAACGCUAGCUACAGGCUUAACACAUGCAAGUCGAGGGGUCUGCUUCGGCAGACGACCGGCGCACGGGUGAGUAACGCGUAUCCAACCUGCCCUUCAUAUUGGGAUAGCCUUCCGAAAGGGAGAUUAAUACCGAAUAACAUGAGAAGUUUGCAUGAAUCUCUCAUGAAAGCUCCGGCGAUGAAGGAUGGGGAUGCGUUCCAUUAGGUAGUAGGCGGGGUAACGGCCCACCUAGCCAACGAUGGAUAGGGGUUCUGAGAGGAAGGUCCCCCACACUGGAACUGAGACACGGUCCAGACUCCUACGGGAGGCAGCAGUGAGGAAUAUUGGUCAAUGGGCGCAAGCCUGAACCAGCCAAGUAGCGUGAAGGAAGACUGCCCUACGGGUUGUAAACUUCUUUUGUUGGGAAUAAAAGACGCUACGUGUAGCGUUGUGCAUGUACCUUACGAAUAAGCAUCGGCUAAUUCCGUG